AAUGGGAAAGCCGGGGGGAAAGGUGAAGGACGGUGGGGGAGAAGGAACGGCGCUGGCCCAAAACCCUACCUCUAAUGAAGAGGCGGAGCAUAGCAAUGGCCUCAGCCGUAAGAAGAAGAGCAAGGCGAAGGACGGCGGUGGCAAAGGCAACGGAGAGAAGGAGAAGGUUGAAAAGGAGGGCGCCUUCCUCCUGGGCGAGCCGACCUUCCUGGACCUAGGUAACGGGCGAUUGCGUUGCGUGGAGACGGGGCACGAAUUGCUCGCCAAGGACCGGGAGGCCUACGGCCGCACCAAGGCCUGCCGCCUCGCCCUCAUCGAUGCUGCCGUUGCCAGAAAGAAGCCACCCCUCAAUAUGUUCCAGCCCCACCCCACUUCCAAGUCGCAACUGGUGUGCAAGCUUACCGGAGACGCGGUUAAUAAAUCUGAGGAGCAUAUCUGGAAGCACGUCAGUGGAAAGAAAUUCCAGAAUAUGUUAGAACAAAAGGAAAUGGAGUCCCAUGCCAAUGCAGAAGCUGUAGAGAAAAAUGCAAAACAAUCAAAAAAGCAAUUCAAGUCAAAAAAAGAUCAGAAAAAGAAUGCUCAUGAGAGUGAUUCACUUACCAAAAAGACAAAGGCAAACAGUGAUGAUAUAAUUGAGCCUGAUUUCUGGGUUCCUCCCGUUGGAAGUCGCUGGGACUUCGAUGAUGGAGAGGAUCGCUGGGAUUCUCAUGAAAACUCAGAUGAUGAUGCAGAUGGUGGUACAGGCCUAGAUGGAACAUCUGAAAAAGAUGAUCCUGAAACAAGGAAACUUGCCAAGCGGAGUAAGCGAACAUCAAAAUCUGUUGGCCUCAGCAGCUUUGUUUCAAGGAAGAAAAAGAUCAAGAAGGCAACUACAAGCCCUUCUGAGCAGCAGUUAUAACAAGAGCAUACUCACCUGCAAAGCUUGUGAUUGUCUGCCUUUUGUAUAUGCAACGUCAAGCCGUACUUACAUCCAAUCCUGCAGUGAAUUACUAAACCUAAAUCGAACUGUUGCCACGUCCGAACUGUUUCACUUGAAGAAUAUCUUUUGAAGGCAUCUGAAACUCUUUGAAAGAUGGCAAUCACUUCCAAAUGUUCAGAAAUUAUCCGCAGCCUAUUUGUUAAAGCUUUUGAUCGCAAACUCACUGUAAUAGUGACAUGAGUAAAUUACUUCAUGAAGUUUAUGAUUACAUUCUUUUGGUUGCA